rnacentral:lncRNA from 1 species
GGGCAGACCUGCCAGAGGGCCUGCUUCACUCUGUUGUUGCUCUGUCAGGCUCCUUCUCCGACCUUUUUGCCUUCUCUCUCACCUGCCGCUCGUGGCGCACUGCCUUCUCCUCAUAUCCAUCGAAAGCUACCUUCUCGACACUACUCCCGCCUCUCCUCCUCCAACCUGAUGUCGCCGUGAUCACGCCUUGUCAUCUGCCCUUUGCCCCCAAACGCCCUUGUCGUGUCACCGAUCUAGCCAGCCAACGCUCGCGCCUUCGCUGUCAAAUUCCACUGGGCAGUUUUUGCUUCACGGGUGCUUCCUAUGGUCAGCUCAUCUUCUCCAGCAACGGAUCAUGUCUCCUUGUUGAUGUGUUCACCGGCCUUAGUGUUUCACCUCCACAACUGCCGGACAACAACCGCAGUAAGCUCUACUACGGUGCCCUCACGGCUCCUCUAGCAUCACCCAACUCACAUCUCCUUGUCAGCACUUCAUCCAGAAGUUUCUUCUGGCGUGUCGGUAGCCUCUUUUGGCGUUCUUCUUGCAAUGAAACGAUCAAGCAGAUCGUGACCUUCAAAGGUCAGCUCUUCGGCACAGACUCUGGUGGCAGGCUCUUUACCUUGCACUUGACACCCCAGAUUCGCAUACAUCAAAUGGCAGGUUUUUGGGGAGAAAGCACGUCCACCGGAAAGCGUCUUGUGAACCUAUGUCUGGUGGCAUGUGGCGAUAUGCUCAUCUUGAUCAGGAGUCGGGGAUCGUUUCCAGCAAGAGGGGAUACCUUUGAGGCACUCCGCCUCGACCAAUCAACUGACAAUGCAAAAUUUGUGAAGGUGGAGGAGCUAGGUAAUUGGGCCAUCUUCAUCAGUACCGACGAGAGAAGCCAGCCGUUGUCUUUGAUGAACCCGGAGAGAUGGGGAGGGAAGAGCAACUGCAUAUACUGCUAUUCACAUGAUUCAGAACAUUGGACCGCAUUCGAGCUGGGCAAGCCUGCCUCUGAUCCUAGCAUCUUUGUUUUCAUAAGCAGCGGCGGUAUGGUGCAACCGAUGUGGGUUGUCCCCAGCAUGUUCUUCUCUCGGUGUCUCUGAUGGUUGAUGAUAUUGAAAUAUUGAUACAUGAUGCAUGACUAUUAUUUGCUUCCCGGAGUAACUUUUGUUGCAAGAGUGCUUGUGGGGAGUUGUAAGAGCAACUUCUGUUGUAAGAGUGCUUGUGGGGAGUUGUAAGAGCGCUUUGAAUCAUCGACAAGUGAAAUACUACUUAUUGUGUUGGCAUCACUCAGGAGAUGUAAUAAUUGGGGUACUUGUUCAGUUGUGAAUUGCUGUUUAUAUGCUUUGCUGCAUGUGCCCUCUUUGUUUAUCUCAAGCACUAAACUGAGUACUGUAACUGUUGAUUGCAGUGAGCUCUAAAUAUCUCUGCUUGCUCAUGAGUUUGCAGGGAUCAGACAGACAACUAACAUGCAUUUUGUAAUGUCUGUUUCUCUAUGUCCUUGCUGGCAGUAACAGAUGUGUUCGUUUCAAUUGCGUAGCUGUGAGCCUGUGAUGCUUCAGAGAAGUUCUUUUCUAGGGAUUCCAGAGAAUUUUUCUAAUCAAUUUUCUAGAUUGGUGUUCUGUAGAAAGGCACAUGUGACCUGGAUGCAUAUUUAUUACCCUUGAUAUUUACAGAUCAGGAGGGAGGUACGCUGUCAAAAAAAGAAGUAAAGAUCAGGAGUGCUUCAUGCUUUCAUAGUAAAGAUGUUGUCAAAUACAAGUACCGGUAAUAAUACAUAUUUUCAAAGUGUAUAAAUAGCGGCGUUUAAAUACAAAUACUAACCAGUCGUAUUUUACUCGAAUACUGAUCGGAAGCUAGUUAUCUCGUAUAUUUUCCACGAGUCCGUUCGAAGAAAACCAAAAGGAGAGAAAGGCUAGAGCAGCCAGCCGCCGGCCGGUAACCCCUGCCCGCGUGAGCCUCGCCCGACGACGGAUUCUCCGGCGACGGAGGUUGCAGGGUGCACUGUGCAGCGGCGGAUCUGGGAGCCGCCGCUGGCGAUUGAUUGAUUGGUGGCUCAGUGCGGGGCGAGCGAUUGGAUUGGGGAUUUGGCGGAGGAGAGAUCCUCCCGGCCGGCCGGCCGGCGUGCGCCGUGGGAGGACCAUCCAAGGCUGCGAUUGGGGGUCGACGGUCGGAGGUCUCGUCUAUGGCGACGAUUCGUCUUCCUUCCUUCCACUCCUGGAAUUCAGUAAGCACAGCCAUCCUCGCCUAGGGGCUAGGGCAGGCUCGGCUCAGGUUCCUCGUGUUCAAUCCUGCUCACCUUCUUCCUGCUCGCUCCCAGGAUCCCUUACUAACCUCUCCCAUCUCAUCAGCCCUGCAACAGUACUUAUUUCAUGUGGCUUAUAUUAUGUUAAAGUUUAGACAUUCGCCCUGCAAAUGCAAAGUGCAGGGGCUGCCCCCCGUCCAUGGUACUGCUGCUAAUAACACUCGCACAUCACUUGUGUUCAUAGUCCAGAGCACAGAGGAGUCUUGUUACUGUCUCAGUGCCCACUUGUUUGGUUUUAUCAAUCUGUCUGCACGGUGCUUGCUGCAGUAGUAUCUUGGUAUUAAUAGUGGCAAGAAAUACUUUCCUUUUGCUGUUGAGAGCAUAGGCUGUCACUCCGUUUUGAUUUUUAUUGAAUAUAAAAAAAAACAAUGCAUGUUAUGACAGUUCCCCCAAAAAACUAUUUUGACCUGCCAACUUGUGAAAUUUUGAUCCAAAAACGUGACGAAUUGUGUCAUCUACUAAAAAGAGCAAAGUUCACAGUCGCAAUUGCAUGAAGUUUUUUUUUGUGGGGACACACUCAUAAAUGGUCGUAUUUCGUAUAUAAGUUUUCAGCGACAAGUAUUUAGGAACGGAGGGAGUACACUACAUCCAUGAUCUUCUUUUUCUUUCUUUUUAAAUUUGUGAGAACUUUGGGGUGCCUCCAAAUAAGAUAAGAGCACACUCUUCAGAUUAUAAAAAUCCACUAUGCAAACAGUUUGCUUUCCAUUGGUGCAUGCAAUCCAAACUUAUAAAUAUGUCGAUGUUUAAUUGUGUGAAUGACAUGUUGCAUGUUCUACUGAAUCACGUGUCUAUGCUUACAACUAAGCAUCUCAGGAACCAUAUGUGCCCUGUCAUGUUUCUCAAUUAGCACUUAGUCUAUUUCCUGUUCUUAGCAUCCAGUUCAUAUUCUUCUAAUGUUUGUCUUUGAAUUCAUAAUUUAUCGCAGGGAACCUGCAACCUGCAAAACCAGGGCCGCUGUGUUUGUUGUCUCCACAAUGUCUCUCGAAGGGCCGGAGGCCGAAAUUUUUAUUAAGGAAGAAAAGCAUAGUACAAGAAGGUACAAAGAGUAGGCAGAUUCCUACAAGGAGCAGAGAUGUAUCUGCACUACACACCGCCACUGAAGCAAAGCUAGCAACCUGGGCAUCACAGGAAAACCACAAGAAAAACAACAGAACAAGCUACAGAAAAAUCAGAUCACCACAAUGCAGCCUGCUGCUUUCCAGGAGCGAAGAUCUUCAAUGAUCAGAUCGACCACCCGCUCGACCGUGGCUGCUUCCUGCUGGAAAAUUCUGGCAUUGCGUUCCUUCCAUAGCCUCCAGUGGACAAGGAUUGUGAAAGUAUCGAAAUCUCUCCGCAGACUUUUGGGGACGCGCUUACGAGCUUCAGUCCACCACUCUUCGGAACUGCAGAAGAUAGAACUGGGGAUGGGGAAGUGGGCACCGGACCACAACCGGAGCUGAUGCCAGACCUGCUGUGUGAAGUGACAAUAUAUGAAGAGAUGAGGACAGCACUCAUUAGCUGAGGAGCAAAGAGGGCAGAUAGGAUUGUGUGGCCACCCUCUUCUUGCUAAAUUAUCCGCAGUGAGGCAUCUCUUGUGAACAACUAACCACAUGAAGAACUUGCAUCUCAUGGGGGCCUUGGAUUUCCAGAUCGGUUUAGCGCAGGCAAAACGCAAGUUGGCAGCGAAGAACAACUUGCAUCUAGAUAUCAAGUUUGGGUAGACCUACCAGAUGAGAUGCUUCAUUCCAUUAUAGCUCAUUCAGGCUCCUUCUCUGUCCUUGCCUUCGCUGCAACCUGUCGCUCUUGGCGUGCUGCCUUUUCCUCGUACCCAUCGAAAUCUACCUUCUCGACACUCUUCCCGCCUGUCCUCCUCCAACCUGAUGUCCCUGUGGGAUCUCCUCGUCAUCAACCCUUUGGCGAUAAACUUCCAUGUCAUG